rnacentral:rRNA from 1 species
CCUACGGGGGGCAGCAGUGAGGAAUAUUGGUCAAUGGGCGCGAGCCUGAACCAGCCAAGUCGCGUGAGGGAAGACGGUCCUAUGGAUUGUAAACCUCUUUUGUCGGGGAGCAAAAGACGCCACGCGUGGCGUUCCGAGAGUACCCGAAGAAAAAGCAUCGGCUAACUCCGGGCCCGCGGCCGCGGUAAUACGGGGGAUGCGAGCGUUAUCCGGAUUUAUUGGGUUUAAAGGGUGCCCAGGCGGAAGUUCAAGUCAGCGGUAAAAUUGAGAGGCUCAACCUCUUCGAGCCGUUGAAACUGGUUUUCUUGAGUGAGCGAGAAGUAUGCGGAAUGGGGGGGGUAGCGGGGAAAUGCAUAGAUAUCACGCAGAACUCCGAUUGCGAAGGCAGCAUACCGGCGCUCAACUGACGCUCAUGCACGAAAGUGGGGGUAUCGAACAGGAUUAGAUACCCGGUAGUC